UACGGAGGGGGCUAGCGUUGCUCGGAAUCACUGGGCGUAAAGGGCGCGUAGGCGGGAUGGCAAGUCAGUCGUGAAAUCUCUCGGCUCAACCGAGAAACGUCGGCUGAUACUGCCGUUCUUGAGGGAUGCAGAGGAGACUGGAAUUCCCGGUGUAGCGGUGAAAUGUGUAGAGAUCGGGAGGAACACCGGUGGCGAAGGCGGGUCUCUGGGCAUUUCCUGACGCUGAGGCGCGAAAGCGUGGGGAGCAAACGGG
rnacentral:rRNA from 1 species